rnacentral:rRNA from 1 species
CCUACGGGAGGCAGCAGUAGGGAAUCUUCCGCAAUGGACGAAAGUCUGACGGAGCAACGCCGCGUGAACGAUGAAGGCCUUCGGGUCGUAAAGCUCUGUUGUUAGGGAAGAACAAGUGCUAGUUGAAUAAGCUGGCACCUUGACGGUACCUAACCAGAAAGCCACGGCUAACUACGUGCCAGCAGCCGCGGUAAUACGUAGGUGGCAAGCGUUGUCCGGAAUUAUUGGGCGUAAAGCGCGCGCAGGCGGUUUCUUAAGUCUGAUGUGAAAGCCCCCGGCUCAACCGGGGAGGGUCAUUGGAAACUGGGAAACUUGAGUGCAGAAGAGGAAAGUGGAAUUCCAAGUGUAGCGGUGAAAUGCGUAGAGAUUUGGAGGAACACCAGUGGCGAAGGCGACUUUCUGGUCUGUAACUGACGCUGAGGCGCGAAAGCGUGGGGAGCAAACAGGAUUAGAUACCCGUGGUAGUCCACGCUGUAAACGAUGAGUGCUAAGUGUUAGAGGGUUUCCGCCCUUUAGUGCUGAAGUUAACGCAUUAAGCACUCCGCCUGGGGAUACGGUCGCAAGACUGAAACUCAAAUGAAUUGACGG